ACAAAAACACUUGAGUUAGUGUUUAGUAAAAUUAUCACUAUAUGAUAAUAUAUUCCACAAAACAAUACUUAAUUGAGUUACAACCCACAUGUAACAAAUCCCACUCACCUCAAAGGCCAGUUUUUGCAUCUUAAUCUCUUGUGAUUGCGAAAAUGUGUUAUUUGUUCUGUGUUUUGACACUGUGCCCUCUCAUCUCUAUGCUAUUAGCACUGCUGUGCCUGUACUGCACUGCUGUCUCUUCGGUAAGCCCAGCUCUAAGAAAAGGUUUGCAUUUGGUUUUCUCUUUGGUCAGAAACAAUGUCAAACAACCUUAUGAGAAACUUAUCACAGAUAGCUUUAGGAUUUGUAGAUACUCUAAUAGUUAACAGCUCUAUUUUUCUUAGUGGCAUCUUCCAGAUUAUCUUUGGACCAUCUGAUGACCAGCAUGACACUUAACUGUCUAACAUCAUCUGUAUCUGGGUCAACAGCCAUCAUCAUCUUCAUCAUCAUUACUGAUCUUUAUCAAAGGUGGGCUUCAUUUCAUUUCCUGAAAGAGAAACAGUCCUUCUGGUAUUUGAGCUGACAGCUUGCAGUCAGUUUAUCAGCGCUUGUUUCUGGGGAAAGAGCUGCUUGCCGCUGAAAACUGGACUGAUGCGAGAGGUGAGACAAAUAACUUAGGACGGCAGUCCUGCCAAGGUGAAGCGUCUCAGCCAUGAUGGUGAACAUUAAGAUGCCACCAAUCUGCAGUUGUUGUCAUGUUGGCCCUCAGAUGCACACAUCUAAGCACAACACACACUGGGUGUGCUGUCUUUAAAUGUGUGGGAUCUAAAAUGAACAUAUGAGCUAAAAGAGGUUAAAACAGCUGCAAAGUUGGGUGAUUAUACUCUGUUGGUUUGUCACCACUUUCACAUGACUAAGUCCAUUUGAUUCAUUUCUAAAUUAAAAAUGACAAUUAAUGGAGCUGUGAAAGGCAAUAAAAAGCAAAUACUCAUAAAUGUAAAUUACCUUUCUCUGUGGCCAACCAAAAAAACAUUGUCAUACAGACACUGACUUUUGGAAGAUUCACCAGCUUUUUUCUGGCUCGACAGACAAAUUUAACAUCUCACUCUGAAUAUUCUACCCCCUCUCCCAAGCCAAGUGUGGAUGACCUCCCCCAACACACACACAGAUGUAGCCACAUAAUCACAUGUUCCCCUCCCCAAUACACAUCCAGGUAACACUCACACAUGCAUCCAUGCAGACUUACGUGUGCAAAUACACAAACACACACACACAAUCCCUGCUGUGCCUGUAAAAUCAGCAUAGCUCUCAGAAAUUCCACUAACACCUCCCACCCCAUGUGGACGCACACAUACACGCGCACACUCCUGUGAACCCACACAAUUAAUGUGAAAUCGCAUCCAUCUUCCACCCCUCUGCCCCUCCCCUGUUCUCCAUUACAAAUAGCUGAGGAUUGCAUUCUCUCCCUCUGGCCCUGCCUGAUGUUGUUUUUACAUGUCUUGUUGUGUGCAAUACUCUCCCUUAUGUAAGACAAAAUUACUCAACAUGAGUGUUAUUCUCAGUGGGGGUGACUGCACUGGUGCAUUCCAAACUCAAUGAGAGAUGGAGGGAAAUUGGAGAGAGAGGUGAGAGGGAGAUAAUCUCCCCUUAAUGAUUAUUUUUAUGGCUGCCAUGCUUCACUAGAUUGUCUACAAUGAGGAUAGAGGGAAAGCAGACGCGAGGGAGGUAUGCUGCAAAAGUCAUGAGUCAGAUUCAAACUCAAGAGCACCUGCUGAGCUACCACAACACCUUAGAGUCAACAGUCUUAAGUGGAUUAUUUCUUUGCAGAUUUAAUACCCCACCACCACCACCCCACAAGCAUAAGUACCAAGGAUCCCUAGACAAACACUGACCAAGAGAUAAGGAAGAAUGUGUGCAGUUAAGAUCUUGUUUACCUUGUACAGAGUCACAGUCGAGAAUGUAGUCCAACAUAAACUGGAAGAGAGUAAAAUAGAGUAAAAUAUCCUCUGUGUACUCUUCAUAGUACACACUGUGUUUUAAGAGAAUGUACAAGGACAACAAAUAAAGGCAUGAAAGGGGCUCUGCUACAGAGAAACAACAGAGGAACUAGAAAUGCUGGUCAAUGGCUUUUUGUUUCAGAUGAUUCAUGUACUACAGACAACAACUGACACAUUCAACCUUUUCAUCUGGAAUGACCCAUAAGAGUCUCAUGGUGGACCUUGAUGAACCUUUGGUCUGCGUAGCAAGUCAGCGUUACAUCCAGGCUUGUUACUAAACAGUUCACAAUUCACAAGGGCCAAACCACAUUGGUUCUGGCUGGGUCAUACUCCUGAAUUCUUUCAUACAUGUGAUCCAAAGUGACAUGUGCUCCAGUCAAGUCAUCCAUUGUCCCUUGCGCUCCAUCAUGAAGACGUCUCACAGAUGAAGCAGGGGGCUGAGACACAGACAGAUCCUCUAUUGAUAAGGCGACCAAAAUAGGACACUUCAUUGUGUAAUACUGUAGCCUGCUUGGGGGCAUAAUGCACUGACAAAUGCACAAGAGGUAUGGGACAGGAACAGAGACAGUAGAAGAGCUACCAUGAAUGACUACAUCAGUUGUGGAAUAUGAAAGUAAUGAUUGGUGGUGAAACUUAAGCAAAUUAUCACCAAAUCCUGAAGCUCUCCUCAGCUUGAUGGAGCUGUUCGCAUUUUUCAGCUCAUUAUUUUGGAUCUCUAGCUUACUGCUUAAUUGUUUGCCCUUGUCAACCUCGUCUCCCAACACAAUAGGAUCAUUUCAGAGAAAAAGCUACACUAUCUGCUCUGUACCAAACAGCAGACAGGCCAAGUUAGAAACUCAACUUUAAAUGAAUGAUGCUAAUGUUAGCUUAUUGUCUGCUGGAUGUUGAAACAGGCAAUAGUUUGUCUUUCACCAUUAACAGCUUUGUAAGGUGAUAAUAGCUUGUGGCUUUGCUCACAAGUGGUUUAAAAUCAAUUGAUUCAAUUUUAAAUAAAAAAAAAAUGUUUCCCUUCAAUGAAAAUGUGUCUCAAUAUCGUGAAAAUUAAAGUCUAAAAUGUGCUGCAGUCAACAGGAAAGUGUUCUCUCCUUCAAACAAAAACUCUUUUAAACUAUUUUGAACUUGAUGAUAUCUGAAGUAUCAGAAGACACUCUCACCUUUCCUGCCUCUAUUGAUGCCUCCACAGCUAAGUGGUGUAAGCAAGCUGAACAAUCUUCAGCACAUGAAGAUGUUGGAAUAACUCGGUAACUGAGUUAGUGAUAAAAGAACUGCUUGUUUACCCCAGCGUAGCAUCUGACUUGAGAAUGACAUGUGGUCUAGAAGUGCUACUGCACGUGGUCACAAGGCGUCAGGGUGCAUCUCUUCUCUAUCUUUGGUAUGAUCUUUUCUGAGACUGAGUACCCGAUGUCCACGGUGUUCUGAAUGCUAUAGUUAUUUUGGGGACGA